CGGCUGUGCGUCUACGCAUGCGCAGACACGCUCCUUCUUCCCUCACUCAGAAAUCUACUUCAUGGAAAGAACGGCUCUGCUUCUGCGCAUGCGCGGGAAAUGAAGCCGACUGAAAGGAGGCGGAGCUUUUUCCCCUUAGCAACGGGAGCUUGUUUGAGGCUGUUGCUACGCGGAAGCUGGCUGGAGCUUGGCCUGAGGCCUUCUUUCAGAUAGUUACACCUCUCAUGGCAUCACCGAGAUGCCCACUAUGGAUGAUUUGGAAGAAAGUCUGAGGCAACUCAAGGUCCAAGUGGAUAGCUUGGCCUCCAGCCUGAAUCAAGAGCACCCUUUCAACUUGGAAUCUGUAUCUGAUACAAGCCAUUUUGGCUCCAAUUGGCCAGUGGCUCUUACUGGGAGCUGGGAGGACUCCAGUAUUGGAGAGACACCAAAGUCAUCCACAGAGACAGAGCGGUUCUUGAAGCUGAAGCAUCUGCUCAGACCUUCAGAGAUGACAAACUUGGGCCUCCCAAUUGUUGCCAUGUCGCCAAUGAAGCGGGUGACUGGGCUGCUCGGAAAUGAGUUCAUACACCAAAAUAUCUGGCCGUCGGUGGAUCGCGCCUUCCCCUUGAAGCUUGGGUCUCCGCAUGUCAUCGGCGUCAAGUCUUUGUUGCCUCCUGAGAUCCCAGUGAAAGGCUCCUGGCCAAAAAGGUCCUCUUUCUCCCCGCCGCUGAGCCUUGACCAUUCUGGGUCCAUCCGUAGCCGGUCAUUCUCUCCACCUGCCAAACGUACACGCUGGGUCCGAUCCCACUCUCAGUCUCCGAGGCCGGUGUGGAAGCCCACCUCAGCCAAGGCCAAUGCUUGUGCGCAACCUCCGCCACAGCUCUUUAAGAAAGGCAGGUUGAGCAAGCAGCCGCAGGUAAGGAUGCGCAGUUCGUGGUCUCCUAAGGCAAGGGGAACACUCAACAAUGGAUGGAGUCCGUACAGUUUCCCUUCUGCUUCUAUCUGCUCACCUACAGCCCAAGAACUCAAUGAAAGGUUCCUUCAGACUCUUGCCGAAAGUGCCAUUGGGAAUUCCCUGAUCGAAACGUCUCCGUACCGGCAAGAGUUGGCUCGUCUCCGCCUGGAGCGCCUUGGCGUGGAAGAAGCCUGGCUUCUGGAGCUGAAGCGGCAGCAGGAACUGGAGCGGACCCGAGGCCCCAAACCAAAAUGGUACGAGAUGCGAAACUCUCAGUUCCACUACGAAGCCCGCAAGAAUAAUGAGCUUUUGAGAAACAGCCAAGAGGUGCCCUCUGUCUCCAAGUACAGGCAGGACCUAGUGACGGCUUCCAAAGAAUUCCUCCUGCAUCCUAUUUCCACUUACCUAGAUACCUAGAGGUAAAGAUCUGUUUGGGAAUCUUGGGCAGCUUGCUCCUUCCAGAAGAUGUAAGUCUUCUCCCCAAGGCACCGAAGCUGGACUUCAAACACCAACAUACCGCCUUUCUGUCUGUUCUCUUCUGUCCUGUCUGUCCAAACGAGAAGAAUCGGAAGAGACGUCAACACACACAAAUGGGGAACUCUGGCAACUUCACCACGUUUUGUUUAUUAUUAUUUUUAAUGAAGGAGAAAAAAUACUGCGUCUCAAAAAGUUAUUAGUGAAAAGGGGCCCUGUUUCGUGUUCUUGGGUUAAGCAAACCCUGCUUCACAAUACCAAUAAAGAAUCCCACCAUGUUUAUGUUA